UGUACUGAGAGAAAUAAUAAUAAUAAAACCGUAUUGCCUACUCAAGGUUAACAUUGUAAAUAUAAAAUUGAAUAACUACAAAAAGAUGAGAAUUGAUUUUACUAAACGCAAAAGCUAGGAAACAUAGCUUCUUGUAAACGUGAGUCUGAAGCUAGAAUUGAUUUGCUUUUAGUAAAAGCCAAACACCUCAAUUUAUAGUCAAAUCACGUUUGACCCAUCUAGAAUUGCUUUUGAUGAGUACAAACGUGGAUCCAAACAGGUAC
rnacentral:lncRNA from 1 species